AGGACUGUAGUUAAGUAUAACAUUUGGUUUGCAUCUAAAAAGUAUUGACUCGCUUCAAUCUGUCUUA
rnacentral:tRNA from 1 species